rnacentral:misc_RNA from 1 species
GCCGCAAAUAUGCAUGUUACACAUGGCAUAAAGCACAUGCCAAUUCCAGCAUUGCCAGAUUGAGCCACCUACGAUGAGAAUGUCAAUUAGCAGAUAAAUCAUGAAACAAUAAAUUAUCCAUCUAAAAUUAUUUUCAAAAAAAUUUCCAAUCUACUUGUUUAAGUGGAUUAGAGGGCCUACAUAAUAUCUUCUAUUACGUGAAUGAUUCAACAGCUAUGAAGAACAUUUAGAAGGGAGACAUUUAUAAUCAGGUCUUGAUAUUCUACGUGACAUGCAUAAACCAGUGCUGCUCUCUCUCGCUCUCUCUCUUUGGUUGGGGUUGGGUCUGUAUUUGGAUAAUCUAUUGGGAGUUUUUUCCAUGAAGUCAAAUGAGAGCUCAAAACAUUAGACAAGCAAGAACCAUCAAGUCAAUCAGUAAAAUCUUUUGCAGAAAAUGUAAUUUUACUUCACUGCAUAUCAGUUCCAAAAAUGAAUCUAUGAAUUCUUGAUUUUG